rnacentral:rRNA from 1 species
UGGAAACAACUGCUAAUACCGUAUGUGCCCUAACGGGGAAACAUUUAUCGGCAAAUGAUGGCCCGCGUUGGAUUGCUAAUUGGUGGGGUAAAGGCCUACAUUGGCGACUAUCCAUAGCUGGUCUGACAGGAUGAUCAAUCACACUGGGACUGAAACACGGCCCCAACUCCUACGGGAGGCAGCAGUGGGGAAUAUUGGACAAUGGGGGCAAGCCGGAUCCAUUCCAUGCCGCGUGAGUGAUGAAGGCCCUAGGGUUGUAAAGCUCUUUCACCGGUGAAGAUAAUGACGGUAACCGGAGAAGAAGCCCCGGCUAACUUCGUGCCAGCAGCCGCGAAAAUGACGAAGGGGGCUAGCGUUGUUCCGAUUUACUGGGCGUAAAGCGCACGUAGGCGGACUUUU